UAGGUUCUACCAACUCGUUAUAUCUUCCUUGUAGGACUGAAGGAUUACAGGCUCGGCCUAACAAUAUUCUCACAAAGUUUGACCUCAAAUCAGGUAGGACUACCCGCUGAACUUAAGCAUAUCAAUAAGCGGAGGAAAAGAAACCAACAGGGAUUGCCUCAGUAACGGCGAGUGAAGCGGCAAAAGCUCAAAUUUGAAAUCUUAGUACCUUUGGUGCUCGAGUUGUAAUUUGAAGAUAUUUCUUUGGAGUUGGCCCUUGUCUAUGUUCCUUGGAACAGGACGUCAUAGAGGGUGAGAAUCCCGUCUGAUGGGGUGUCCAACUCUUUGUAAAGUUUUAUCGAAGAGUCGAGUUGUUUGGGAAUGCAGCUCUAAGUGGGUGGUAAAUUCCAUCUAAAGCUAAAUAUUGGCGAGAGACCGAUAGCGAACAAGUACAGUGAUGGAAAGAUGAAAAGAACUUUGAAAAGAGAGUGAAAAAGUACGUGAAAUUGUUGAAAGGGAAGGAUAUUAGAUCAGACUUGGUGUUUUACGAUUAUCUUCCCUUCUUGGGUUGUGCACUCGUGCUACACUGGGCCAGCAUCGAUUCGGACGGUAAGAUAAUGACUUAGGAACGUGGCACUCCUUCGGGGGUGUGUUAUAGCCUGUGUUGAUGUUGCCUGUCUGGAUCGAGGACUGCGUCUUUUGACUAGGAUGUUGGCGUAAUGAUCUAAUAUCGCCCGUCUUGAAACACGGACCAAGGAGUCUAACGUCUAUGCGAGUGUUUGGGUGUAAAACCCGUA
rnacentral:rRNA from 1 species